AUGCACGCCGAUCAACUAGUACCGGCGGUCGUCGCCGCCGUGGCCGUGGUGUGCCUGCUCAUCGCCGGCCGCGCCGACGGCCAAUUGGAGUACGUGCCUGCCGCGGCGAGCCAGGUGGUGGAGCCGCUGGCCACGAACCAGCAGCCGUUCCUCCCGCAGCCGGAGGUGAUGCCAGUGCCCAACAAUCUGCUCGCUAAGCCGGAAUACGUCUCGCAGUCGCAGACGGGGUUCUCCCUACCGGAGCCCUCCCUAGCCGGGGCGUUCACCGGCGGCUACUUCCCGCAGCAACCGACGACAGAGCCGCAGCCACAGCCGGAGUCGCAGGCGACCAAGUGGGUGCCGGAGACGCAGACGACCAAGUGGGUGCCGGAGCCGACGUGGCAAAAGCCGGCGACGCCGUCUGUGCCCGCGCAGCCGAGUACCAGCGGCGGAUCGUACGCUGGCGGGGGCGCCAACAAGCAGCUGGACGACGACGGGGAGCCGGUGGACGGGCUGAGCCCCAAGGCCAUCGAGAACAUCCUCAAGGAGCACAACGCAUUCCGCGCCAAGGAGCAUGUGCCCCCUCUCACGUGGAACGCGACGGUGGCCCAGUACGCGCAGCACUACGCGAUCGAGCGCAAGGGGGACUGCGCGCUCAAGCACUCGACGGGGCCGUACGGGGAGAACCUCAUGUACGGCGAGGGCCGGGCGUGGACGUGGCGCCACACCGUCGACGAGUGGAGCGAGGAGAAGCAGAACUAUCACUACGGCACCAACUCCUGCGACGCCGGCAAGCAGUGCGGCCACUACACCGCCGUCGUCUGGAAGCACACCACCGCCGUCGGCUGCGGCCGCGUCACCUGCACCAGCGGCGACACCCUCAUGGUCUGCAGCUACUACCCGCCGGGGAACUACGACGGGGAGAAGCCAUUCUAA
rnacentral:rRNA from 1 species